rnacentral:rRNA from 1 species
CNACCUGCCCACCACUUGGGGAUAACCUUGCGAAAGUAAGACUAAUACCCGAUGAUAUCUCUNNNAGACAUCUGAAAGAGAUUAAAGAUUUAUCGGUGAUGGAUGGGGAUGCUUCUGAUUAGCUUGUUGGCGGGGUAACGGCCCACCAAGGCGACGAUCAGUAGGGGUUCUGAGAGGAAGGUCCCCCACAUUGGAACUGAGACACGGUCCAAACUCCUACGGGAGGCAGCAGUGAGGAAUAUUGGUCAAUGGACGAGAGUCUGAACCAGCCAAGUAGCGUGCAGGAUGACGGCCCUAUGGGUUGUAAACUGCUUUUAUAAGGGAAUAAAGUGAGUCUCGUGAGACUUUUUGCAUGUACCUUAUGAAUAAGGACCGGCUAAUUCCGUGCCAGCAGCCGCGGUAAUACGGAAGGUCCGGGCGUUAUCCGGAUUUAUUGGGUUUAAAGGGAGCGUAGGCCGGAGAUUAAGCGUGUUGUGAAAUGUAGAUGCUCAACAUCUGCACUGCAGCGCGAACUGGUUUCCUUGAGUACGCACAAAGUGGGCGGAAUUCGUGGUGUAGCGGUGAAAUGCUUAGAUAUCACGAAGAACUCCGAUUG